rnacentral:lncRNA from 1 species
AUGGUGGCUAUGGUUCAAGUGGUGGUAGCAUGCGUUGCUUGGGUUCUAACAGCAUUAAGUAUUCCGCCAACCACCAGUGAAAACGAGCGCCAUAAACAGAUUCCACUAGGUUUUCGACGAGAUUUCUGUUACAGAUGUAAUUGAAGAUCUAUCAAGGCCUAAUUUGAAGAGAGAGUCUGGAUGCAGAGAUAUUUGACUACCGUUGGUUCCUGAUAAAGCAAGGGGCUAAAGCUAUGAAUUAAUCUGUUUUUGUACUUUAUUCUUUAUUGUUGUUGGGAGUAUGGAGUUUACGGGUUGAGAUUAAAAUUUGAAGCGCAGGUUUUGGCAUUCUGAUCCAAAAUUACUUUGAUUCUUAUACUGGUACAUGUAACUAAGCUUGAGACACUUGUAUGUUAUUUGCUAAACUGCUGAUGCUUGAUUGAUGUAUUUUAUAGAGUUUUUGAGUCAACAUUUGCUAGAAGAAAGUCUAUUCUAAAGGAAUGGUUCUCAAAGAAGUACAAGCAGCUCACACUCAAGUGAUUAAUCAUCAUAGUUUGGUUAUGAUGUUUGUUGUUUUUUUUUUCUACUAGCAGUAGACCCUAGACCACAUACCAUAAACGUCAUAGUGGUAGCAACCAGCUGAUGUAUGCAAUGUGUGUGCCAGUUACGUUUGGGUUUUUCAAAAUCACAUGUGAAGCAGUAACGAGCAGACUGUUACAUCUCUUCCACAUGUGGUAGAAAAGAUUCUUGCUGGAACCAUAAGGCGAGAGGCUUUUGUUACUAGAUCGUUUCUUCUCUCUGCAUGAUUCCUCCUGCCUUCUUCAACUUGUGAAGUUCUAUUUGAACAUGUGGUUGCUGGCCAGAUUGGUGUAAUAAGAUUACUGAGAUAUUUUGGCAGAGCAAAAUUUCAGCGACCUAAACUAGGGUGCCGGUGAGGUUCCGAUCAAAUUCCGCUAAGUCCUAUUUCUUAUGCAUAUCUCAUUUACUUUGAUGUGGAUGUUAUUUCGAAGCAAUUUGUUGUC